GUUCUUCUGCUCUGGGUCUGUAACGCAUAUCCUACAGGUUGAGAUGAACCAGAGCUGGGCCUGCAAUGACAGCAGGAUUGGCAACAUACUGCUUGGAGGGAAGAUAGUAUGUGUGUGCCCAAAACAACAUCCCAAUAAUAGGUGUUGCCAUUGACUACAGUGGGGCCAGUAUUUGAUCC